rnacentral:rRNA from 1 species
CAGUAGCCACGGUAAUACGAAGGGGGCUAGCGUUGCUCGGAAUCACUGGGCGUAAAGGGUGCGUAGGCGGGUCUUUAAGUCAGGGGUGAAAUCCUGGAGCUCAACUCCAGAACUGCCUUUGAUACUGAAGAUCUUGAGUAUGGGAGAGGUGAGUGGAACUGCGAGUGUAGUGGUGAAAUUCGUAGACAUUCGCAAGAACACCAGUGGCGAAGGCGGCUCACUGGCCCAUAACUGACGCUGAGGCACGAAAGCGUGGGGAGCAAACAGGAUUAGAUACCCCGGUAGUCCCUGUCUCUUAUAC